rnacentral:rRNA from 1 species
CGGCAUGCCUUACACAUGCAAGUCGAACGGCAGCACGGGAGCAAUCCUGGUGGCGAGUGGCGAACGGGUGAGUAAUAUAUCGGAACGUGCCCAGUCGUGGGGGAUAACGUAGCGAAAGCUACGCUAAUACCGCAUACGAUCUAUGGAUGAAAGCGGGGAUCGCAAGACCUCGCGCGAUUGGAGCGGCCGAUAUCAGAUUAGGUAGUUGGUGAGGUAAAGGCUCACCAAGCCGACGAUCUGUAGCUGGUCUGAGAGGACGACCAGCCACACUGGGACUGAGACACGGCCCAGACUCCUACGGGAGGCAGCAGUGGGGAAUUUUGGACAAUGGGCGCAAGCCUGAUCCAGCAAUGCCGCGUGCAGGAUGAAGGCCUUCGGGUUGUAAACUGCUUUGUACGGAACGAAACGGCGAGCUCUAAUACAGUUUGCUAAUGACGGUACCGUAAGAAUAAGCACCGGCUAACUACGUG